rnacentral:rRNA from 11 species
CUUUGUACCUGAAUUCCAUUAAAGGCACUAGAUCUUAUCUGAUCUUGGAAGUUAAGCAGGUUUAACUCUGGGUAAUACUUAAAUGAGAGAGACCACCAACAAAUACUAGGUGCUACAGAGA